rnacentral:lncRNA from 1 species
UCGAGGUACACAAAAUAGUUUAUUUCCUCUAAAGGAAAAAAAAACAUAGUUUCUUAACCAAUUAAAAGAAAUAAGUGUCUCCUAUCAUGAAUCGAUUUUUUUUGGAAGAAAAAUCAUUACAAAUUGGGGAGAAUAUUAGAUAAAGUAGUGAUAUUUGAACAACCAUUUCAUACAAUUUUUUAUGACAAUUUUUUUUUCUCUCUUUCCAUUGAUUAAAAACUAUGAAGAGAGAAAAAAGAAGAGAUAAAAUAAGAGGAUAAUGUGAAUAUGAAAGAGAAAGUUGUCAAAAAAUUGUCAUAAAAUGGUUGUAGAAAUAUCAUUUCUUAUUACCUAAUACCUACCCACUUUUUCUUUUUUCAAAUAAAAGAAAGCAACCCUAGCAACAUGGUACACGUCCCUCCCAAACUCAGUCAAAGCAUUCAACUCUCUAGAAGCCUUUUCAUACACCCGACACCUU